ensembl:lncRNA
CGGCAUUAUUGUGACAGAUUUACAAAACAAUACACUUAUAAAAUAGUUCAUGUGCCGAAUUGUAGGCUGUUUGCCUGACAGUGUUGCAGCCAAUCAAAAUUUAAACUUGAAAAUGCUUUCUUAAAUGCUUUAUAAUGUUUUAAGAUGAAAGUUUCUGCAUAUUUUCAUAUAAAGAUUUUUUAAAGUAGCUUUCUUGUUAUUUGAUCCCUUGCAACUAAAGUUUAAGCACAUAAACUGAAUACGACACAGAAGCAAUUAUAAAACCCCUUAAUCUGAAAAUAAAUAAACAAAUAAACCAGUUGUCUUAACUUAGUUUUGUGCAACCGGUUGUUCUUAAGCAAAUAAUGUAUCAAGCAUCAGAGCCACAGAAAGACAGUGAGGGAGAAAGACAAAGAUACAGCGGGUCUUGACAGCUGACCUCUCGGGUCUGACCCCGUCCUCUCUGUUUCCACAGGCCAUUCCACAACUCUCCUGCCAACAUUUAAACACUUCCUGUAAGACAGGCGGGCGGCAGGAAGUUGCCUCGUUGACCGGAGACGCUUCAGUUGAGAGCAUGAAAGAACCGUAAGCGUGCCGAUCCUGCAGUCUGUCCAGAGUUCCAGGCUCAUGUCUCCAGUUACCCGCUGGGCGCUGCUUGGUGAUGGGCAUCAUCCUUUUGGAUUCUGGGCGCUGGACCAGCAGUGGCUGCCAGGGCAGUUUACCCCCAACUGGACUUUAACACAGUACAGCACUUCAUACUGGGGAUCGCAGUUUCCUGUCAUCUUCUGGCGAGAGUGUCUGCGGAAGCAACAAUGGAGGGUUUCUGUUCUUCUGCAGCGUUAAAGAUGCCCAGUCGCCACAGGAAGUCGAGCGUAGCUGGCGGCUGAAAUAAAUGAUGCUGCGGCUUACCUGUCGGGAAGAGUGAUUCGGCGCGUCGGACUGUUGCAUUCGGUGUGGUGACAGGCAGGCCCAUCAUGCUCUAGUAAUGGGGUCAAACAGGAAGACGGGGAUUUUGAUGCCCGGUGAGGCCACAGGGCUGCGCCCUCAUUGAGCAGCGCGAGCGGCCCGAUGGAGUCAGCCUGACCUGUUUAUUACCGUGUUUUUCUGCUUCGCUGCAAACCAGUAAUGAUCGUCACACUGUUUGAUUGACAGUGGCUCUCUCCCCUCGCUCGCUCGCUCACUGGAUCCAACUUGAAAGUGGUUGAUGGUGGACGAAUUGUGCCUGUUGACCCAUCGCCGUGCCCCGCCAAGGGUUCAAUUUACCUCUCCUGACAGGCAAAUGAUAAGUUCCGGCCGCACGCGUUCAGCGCCCUACCUCGCGCUCAGGAAAACACACUGCCGUCGGAGACAGAACCGAUUCCACGGCCUUUAAUUAGCCUGGCAGUUUUACUUCACUGAACAAGUUCAAAAAGCUAAUGAUGUUUACAUACAUGAUCUACAAGUCUAAACAACAUGCCUGUUUUCAAUUAAGUGCCUUGAACAUCCAUAUUUACACCUUGAGAAAAUGGAGCGAAAAUCAAGAGCAUAAAUAUUGGACUCUUAUUCAGGAGCAGGUUUUUUUUUUUUGUUUUUGUUUUUUAUUGCUGUAGUGUACAUCAGGGUCAAAACAUCUGAGAACACACUGAAAAUGUGGGAUUUUUUUCUAAUUAGACUUGGAAAUUUUGAAUUAAUUUUGAAGGAAAAAAAUAGAAAAUGUUCUUAAGCAUAGAUUUUCAACAUAAUAUUAUAUUCAUAUAUAGAUUUUCCUGAAGCAAAUAAUGGUGUUGCAAAAU